UACAGAGGUCCCGAGCGUUGUUCGGAUUCACUGGGCGUAAAGGGUGCGUAGGUGGUGAGGUAAGUCGGAUGUGAAAGCUCGGAGCUCAACUCCGAAAUGGCAUUGGAAACUACCUUGCUAGAGGGUUGGAGGGGGGACUGGAAUGCUUGGUGUAGCAGUGAAAUGCGUAGAUAUCAAGCGGAACACCAGUGGCGAAGGCGAGUCCCUGGACAACUCCUGACACUGAGGCACGAAAGCUAGGGGGGCAAACAGG
rnacentral:rRNA from 1 species